AGGACCGCAUUUGCCUAAUUAUACAACGUCACUGCCUCUGCUCUGAUUGGCUGGAUCCAGUCUCUGAGGAUGAUAUUCCUUGCAUGUCUGUCCACAUGAUUCUCGCUGCGAGGGGUACCACAGGAUGGACUCCAGCCAGAACAAACGUGAAUCCGUAGUGGUGAG